GCCCCGGUGGUGAAACUGGUAGACACGCCGGACUUAAAAUCCUGUUCUCCGCAAGGGGAGUGCCGGUUCGAUUCCGGCCCGGGGCACAA
rnacentral:tRNA from 1 species